UCCAAUCGAACUCGGAGAUAGCUGGUUCUCCCCGAAAUAGCUUUAGGGCUAGCGUCGGAUAUGUGUAGUGGAGGUAGAGCACUGAAUGGGCUAGGGGGCAUAUCGCUUACCGAACCUUAUCAAACUCCGAAUGCCAUAUACAUUUAGUCCGGCAGUCAGACUACGAAUGAUAAGAUCCGUGGUCAAAAGGGAAACAGCCCAGAUCGUCAGCUAAGGUCCCAAAGUGUAAGUUAAGUGGAAAAGGAUGUGGGAUUUCUAAGACAACUAGGAUGUUGGCUUAGAAGCAGCCACUCAUUUAAAGAGUGCGUAAUAGCUCACUAGUCGAGAGAUCCUGCGCCGAAAAUGUCCGGGGCUAAAACUUACCACCGAAGCUACGGGCUUGCGUAAGCAAGCGGUAGGGGAGCGUCGUAAUCGGGCUGAAGUCGUACCGUAAGGAGCGGUGGACUGAUUACGAGUGAGAAUGUUGGCAUUAGUAGCGAGAUGUAGGUGAGAAUCCUACAGGCCGAAUAUCUAAGGUUUCCUCAGGAAGGCUCGUCCGCUGAGGGUUAGUCGGGACCUAAGCCGAGGCCGAAAGGCGUAGGCGAUGGACAACAGGUUGAUAUUCCUGUACCACUACCAUCGUUAUUAUCGAGGGUGUGACGGAGAAGGAUAGUGUGUGCUAGCGAUUGGAAAUGCUAGUCUAAGCGUUUAGGCAGUUACGGUAGGCAAAUCCGCUGUAACGUUAAUGCUGAGGCGUGAUGGGGAAGGCCCUUGAGGCUGAAGUACAUGAUUCCAUGCUUCCAAGAAAAGCAUCUAGAGAGAGAAGUAGUGCCCGUACCGCAAACCGACACAGGUAGAUGAGGAGAGAAUCCUAAGGCCGGCGGAAGAAUUGCAGUUAAGGAACUAGGCAAAUUGACCCCGUAAGUUAGCGAGAAGGGGUGCCUGCGAGAGCAGGCCGCAGAGAAUAGGCCCAAGCAACUGUUUAGCAAAAACACAGGUCUCUGCUAAAGCGCAAGCUGAUGUAUAGGGGCUGACGCCUGCCCGGUGCUGGAAGGUUAAGGGGAACACUUAGCGCAAGCGAAGGUGUGAACUUAAGCCCCAGUAAACGGCGGCCGUAACUAUAACGGUCCUAAGGUAGCGAAAUUCCUUGUCAGGUAAGUUCUGACCCGCACGAAUGGCGUAAUGACUUGGGCACUGUCUCAACUGCAAAUCCGGCGAAGUUGUAGUGCGAGUGAAGAUGCUCGCUACCCGCGAUUGGACGGAAAGACCCCGUAGAGCUUUACUGUAGCUUAGCAUUGAAUUCCGGUAUUGUCUGUACAGGAUAGGUGGGAGACUGGGAAACUAGGGCGUCAGCCUUAGUGGAGUCGUCCUUGGGAUACCACCCUGACAGUACUGGGGUUCUAACAGGACGCCAUGAAUCUGGUGACUGGACAUUGUUAGGUGGGCAGUUUGACUGGGGCGGUCGCCUCCUAAAAAGUAACGGAGGCGCCCAAAGGUUCCCUCAGAACGGUCGGAAAUCGUUCGUAGAGUGCAAAGGCAGAAGGGAGCCUGACUGCGAGACCUACAAGUCGAGCAGGGACGAAAGUCGGGCUUAGUGAUCCGGUGGUACCUCGUGGGAGGGCCAUCGCUCAACGGAUAAAAGCUACCUCGGGGAUAACAGGCUGAUCUCCCCCAAGAGUCCACAU
rnacentral:rRNA from 1 species